GUGGCGUACAGUGCGAUUUGGGGGCUGGCCGUCGCCAUCUUAAAUGUGGCAAUUAAGCCCCAAAUGAAACUAGGGGAUUCAGGAUGCUUUAAGUUGUUUCGCCCCAGCGGCCUUUAGUUAACUAGUGAGGUAAAUUUGAUGGCAUGGAGGUAGUUUUCUUUUGUUUGUUUGUUUUUUAACGUUUGUUUUAUAUCGUGAGACAUGUCUUAUCUAGCACAGGCUAGCCUUGAACUCCUCAUCUCCCUGUAUCUCCCAAGUGCAAGGAUUACAGAGAAAUACUAUAAGGUAUGUAUGUCUGCAUGAGAGUUCAGGUGCUCGAGAAGCCAGAGACAUCGGGUCCCAAGAGCUUCAGUUACAGCUGGUUAUGAAGUCACCUGAUAUGGGUGCUGUGAACUCAACACUAGUCCUCUGGAAGAGAAGUAUUUUGCUGUGUGUGUCUCUGUACCACUUGCCUGCUUGGUGCUCACAGAAGAGGCUGUCAGAUCCCCUAGAACCGGAGUUACAGAGGGUUGUAAGGCUUCAUAUUGAUGCUGGGAAUGGAACUGGGGUCAUUUGGAAGAGAAGCCAGUGUUCUUAACCACUAAGCCAUCUCUAUAGCCCCCAUUUCUGGUUUCUGGGAAUGAACUGGGGGUCCUUAAGCUUUCCUGGUUAGCACUCUUACCUACUGUACGGAAAAGGGGCCAGCCAAAGAAACACACCCUGAGCAGAGCCAAAGAAACACACUUUGGCCCUGCAACCAGAAACAAAGAAAUGUACCCUGACCCCAAACCAGUGCCAAAGAAACACACUUUGUCCCUGGAA